CAUCCCCUGGGGACCAUCCCUGCAGCCUUCCUGCUGCCCUCCCAUCCUCCUCAAUGCUCUGCUGGCUGCCCUGUGUGCUCACAGCAGGGCGAUGGGAGCCCACCGGGUCACCACACAGCACGCAUAGGGCUCCUUUCAAAGGCUGUGCAAACCUGCAGGGAGCACCGUGCGUGUGCUGUGAUAACACUUGUGCUAUCUCACGGCUCUGAGAAGCGAGCUGGUUGCAUUCAGGGCUCUGUCCCACGGCUACAGCCCAAAGCCCUUCCUUCCCCUUCUCUGAUGGGAAUCCAGCACUGCACUCAGCAGUACCUUUGUUGGCACGCGAGCGCUUCUACAAGUGAAUUGGAAACGUCUCCUUUGCCUCUUUCCUCCUUGCAUAAUACCUGCCGUAUGUUUCUUCCAUCAGCUGCCGGUGAAUGAGCAGCUCUUCAGGCCGGCCAAUUUAAAAUAAUUUGUUUAACUUUGAGUUGGGAGCAAUAGGAUGGAAAUAAAAGAUCGUGGCACAGCGCCCCGCGCUUCAGCCCAAGCAGAGCUGGGAUUGUGCUCUGUGCCGGACAAAGGGCUCCUGCAGAAUGAAUGACCCGAGGCAGACCUCUCAACGACAGCACUCGAAUCAUAAAAACUGCAUAUUUCACAAGUUUCCAACUGAAAACCGGGGGGAGGUUGAAUGGGUUCGGGAGCUGAAAUAGUCUGCCCAAUGCGUAUUAAGGUGCUUUGAAUGGGCAUUGUGGACCUUCCAUUAUACCUCCCUGUAUUUUACAUGAGCUGAGGCCUUCCUCCCGCCUCCUUUGUAUGUUUCUCCACAAAAGGAAAUGAAAAAAACUUUCUCCUUACUAUGGGAAAAGCACGGUUAUAAAACCCAGAGAUAGCACAUAUUUUUCCCAUUGGAGAACUGCCCGAUAACCGCCGAGCUAAAUCAGUCAUUCCAUUCACUUUCAGACCAUCACCUGAACUUCACCAGGAAAUGGGAUAUUUGAAUUGAUAUGGGUGUGGGGACUGGGAAGGCAGCAGGUCUGUGAGCUUCAGUGCAGCUGCACUGCUCUCUGCUGACUGCUGUGCUGUGCUUGAUGGAACGUGCCAGUGGUGUCCGAGGCUCUGGGGAACAAUGCCAUAUCAACAGCAAAAAAGAAACCAGAGCUUUGGUUUCACAGAACUCUCAGUUUGCAACAAUUUGUCUUUUACUUCUUCUGGUGUGAUGUCCCCAUUGUGCCCUCAUCCCUACAGCCUCACCCCAUGCUUCUGCACGGCCACCAGCAGCUGGGAGGCAGCAGGAGGAGCACUGCAAAACACAGCCACAAAACAGCACAAUCCUGGCAGCAGGGAUGUCUGUGUGCUGGGCUGGAUAAUGAAAGCUGUGCUGUGCUCAGGAAGCAAUGGGGCAUUAGUAACCUGGUGGAAAGGGGGAGCCUCGUGCCUGACCUCACGCAGCAUCCAGACUGAUGGCCCUGCUAAGGCUCUGCCAUGGCUCUCACUCACCCACAGAUGGACCUAAUCUCUUGUACUGGUUGAUGAUUUGAAACACCUGCCCACGUAGCCUGUUUAAGCAGUCCUUGCGUCUGGGAGACAAAGAUUUGCAUGUCCUCAGACAUACUCUAUAGAAGUCCUGUGAAACCCGAGUCUAAUUUCAUUACAAGCAGAGCAUGAGGAGGAUGCAGAUCUGAAAUGCUGAUUGAGGGAUGCUGGGAAGGUCAGCUGCAAGUGGUAUGGAAACGGCGGAGGAGAAGGAGGGAAACAGACAGACCAAGGAGAAAUCUGCUCACACUGUGCCACGGAGAGUAAGAUGAAGGCUUUUAUUUACUUGGAAGCCAGUCAGGACAUUAGUUCGGGUAAUAAAGGCUGGCUGGGAAAAGGCACCCCUGAGGCUGAGGCCGUGAAGGCACCUGGCUUUCGGUGAAUGCAUCUUCGCUUUAUGAGCCCCCUGCACCGGGAGAGGGAUUUUUUCCCCAUAUCUUUCUGGGUGAGGAAAAACUUUGAUGGGGAAAAAGAAAUCACGGGAAUCCCCUGUGGGGCAGCAGCCUCCAGAACGCCACCAGAGAGCCUCCUGUGCUCCGCACCCACUGCUUGGGCAGCACUGGGAGAAGCCCACCCGCAGCAGGCAAUGGGCUCAUGGCUUGUAGGAGGGAGAGGAGCCAGGUUUUGCUUUCUGCUGUACCUUUGUUUUAGAUAAAACUGCAGGCAGAUGCAUCUACUACCUGCCUGUUUCCCUGAUGUGGUGAUGGCGUGGGGCAGUGCAUCCUCCUGGUUUUGCUCAGGGGAAGCAGAUCCUGCAACGUGGCCAGGAGCAGCGGGAGAGCAGCAAGAGCUGGGGGUCAGCCCACAUCCAAAGUGCACAAAUCAGACAGCACCUUUGCUGCUGCCCUUGUUGCUCCCGUGCUGCUCCCUGCUAUCCCAGUGCCCCCUGGUACCUCUGCAGAGCAAGGUGCCAGCCCUGCUGGGCAAACACACCGCCUGCACAAUAGCUGUUAGGAGCAAACUUCUUCCUAUCCAUGCCGGGUGCGGAUGGAGGAGUUCUGGGGUGUUCAUUACUACAUCUCAGCCCUGGAGCCCCCCAGGGGCCUCUGAGAGGAGAAAACAAAUGAAGCUGCGCUCGUUGACCGUAACACAAAUUGACUGCUGCUUGUGCUGAUGUUUUCGACAUAAUUCAUUUCAGCUCAAGCAUGUUGGCUAUCUGCAUAAUUUCUCCUUGAGUAGUUUUACUGCCAUAUGGGACACUGCGGACCUCGGGCUGCUGCUCUGCCUGUAACCCCCCUUGCUGGAGUGAUGCUCAGAAUGCGUGGUCCUGCAGCCCCCAAAGUGCCAUCACGAGGGCCGGAGCUGCAGGUGGGGCCCAGGGCUGUAGGGGCUCUGCACACCUCACAGGGCAGCCCUGUGCUGCAGGAAUGAGCUUUGAGGGGGCGGAGAGGAUUUAACCUCUGAAGCUGGGUGUUUUCACCAGCAUUGAUUUGAGCUUUGAAGGUAGGAGGGCACACAAGGAAAAGGGCCAGCUGAGCCCUGCUGCUCACGAGGGCCUCAGAACCUCUUUGCAAAGCCCGUCCUUUACUGCUCAGCCUUAAUGCAAAGCAUAACCUCUAGCAGUGUUUGCUGCAGUUAGCGUUGUUGACAAGCAGUCUUUCAACGCAGACCUUGUGUCUUAAUUAAAUGGAAUUUGUUUCAGCAAAUAAUGCUUGUCAGAAGCACUUCUUUUUGCCGCAGGACUCUUACAAAGAUGCCAUCAGACAUUUCGAUAAGCAGCCAUCUGUGUCUCAGCGUUCCGACGGCUCCACGUGAAGGCAGACUCAUUCUUGCCAGGCCAAAUUUGUAAUUAUGAAUGACAGAGGAACAGCAGAGCCGUUGGAAUGGAGCACUGUGCCCCAGGACAGCAGCAGCUCACCCCUCCCAGCCCUCAGUGCCCCAAACCCACACAGCUGAGUGCAUUGUAAGAAGCCAUGGAGUGCAGACUGCAAAAAGGGGGGGCUCUGCAGUCACCAACCACCCCAAAAGGAUAAAGCAGACAAC